CAUCAGCAGUUUGCUAGAUGAGAAAUUUCUAAUGUGUUCAGUCUCCAAACAAUGUGUUUUUCUAAACAGGAUUCAACAAGAUGUUCUCUAGAUAAAAGUAGUAAUAUGCUUGUUUCUGUAUCUGAUGUGUGGGUGAGAAAAGAGCAGAUUUUUAAUGGGAACGGAAAAUUAUUUGCCCAUGUUCUAUUUUCCUUGGGUAUCAAAGGAUCUCUUCGUUAUUUCUCAGUUUUCAUAUAUGUAUGCCCAGACAACGCACAAUACUCGGUCCAAUCUUGUCGCAAGCAUGAAAGGUUCUAUUGAUGCUAUUUGGUGUCAUGGAUGUCUUCAUCUCAUAUUUAUACUUACGAGAAAAUCACGAGUUCAGGAUUUUGUUUCACCGUCCUCAUUUGUUGUUGUUUCAUAUUUUUUAUGAAUUUGUGAGGAGCUCACCAAGUUAAACAAACAUCUUUUGUGUUUGGCUAUUUCUGUCUAUCAAACUACAUGACACCCUGCGCGUUGCGGCGGGAAUCUUUGCUACAAAAUAGAAUUUAUUAACCAUCACUUUAAAAUAAAUGGCAACUGACACAGAAGUUUUUUGAAUUGGAGCUGAUAUAUUAUUCCCAUGUCAUGUAUAAAUUCUAUGGUUACUAUUCAGAGGUCAUUUGAAUGUUUCUCUGUCACGAUGAGUGUUCGAAAGAUUGUCUUGGUUCGGUAGUCACUUAGAAUUUAUCUGUAUUGUAUUCUACUAAUCGCAAUGUUCAUAAAUAGAAUAAUUUAACUAUCUUGUGUUGGUGAAUCUGUUCUCUUAUUUUUUAAUAUCUUCAAUUCAAAUUUGGUUUAGAUUUGUAAACAAUGAUUGCUAAUUCCGUACAAUUUACUAAUUCCCUGCAUGUCUUUGUAAUAGUGUUUGGUGCUUGAAAAUAAAAUUGAUGUUGGCCUUUUUAUUUUUACCACGAGUAUUAUCCUGAAGCUAGGCCUGCCUCUUCUCGUGAUCUCAUUUAUCCAAUGUGCAUGUAAGUUCCCCCACUUCUCUUUUUUUUGUCCUGUCUACAUUUAUCUUUAUGUUGGUACAACAUUUUAUAGGGGUGUUUUAUAGGGGUGGUACAGUCAUGCUCCACAUGAUGCAAAAAUAUUGGAAAUAUUACUAAUACAAUAUUGUGGGGUUUUAACUCCUUUUUGCAUAUAAAUGGGAUUUUUAGCUUCUUUUUGUAUAUAUAUUUCUUGCUUACGCCUUUUCCUCUUGAAACAAUACCAGGCAAGCUGACAUGUGCCAUCUUACCAUUCCUAUUUUUCCGAUUGUAUGGAAAUUGAUUCAGAAAAUCCAGUUCGUUUGCUGCCAGUUCGGAUCGAUCUAAUCAUCGUUUUCUUCUCCAUAGAAUUGGGUUUCUCCCCUUGGUGGAGCAGGUAGGGAGCACGGAGCUAUUAUUCGUGACAAUAAAUGGGUGCAUUGUAACUAUCACAUCUGCUUGAGCUUGUCUUUCCAUGAGGUCAAGCCUAUUCUCAGAUCUCCAUAGCAUCUGCAUACUCGCCUUUUGCCACACUUGGACAUGAAAGUCCUAUAGAAUGGAAGGAACAAUAUGUGAUGUUGAUCUUGUGAUUACUGUUGCUGGUGAUGUCACACUUGCAUGGGCUAACCAUUUGUUGGAUAACUUGAUUCCCAUUGUAAGGUGUUAAGUCGGAUCGUAUUUGUUCUGAUGAGGGUGUGGUGCGGUUUUCAGAGUUUCAAUCCUGAUGAUUUCGUACCAGUAAUAUUGCAGUCUGUGGUCCAGAGCAAAUGUUGAAUGGAGUGCUGAGGACUUUUGGAGGGUGGCCAGUAGGAUGAGUUGGAUCUGUUCUUCGUAGCAAAGGUGAUGCCGUUGCAGACAGGUACCUGAAUUUGUCUUGUCGAGGGUGUGGAGCUGGUGGUCGGUGGAACGCCUUGCUGGUGGCUCUGAGUGCACAUAAUCUGUGUUGAUGUAUUUAGCCAUGGCGUUUAUGUCACAUGUAUGGUACAGUCGUAUUCAGCCAAGGUCUUGAUAUGAUAUUUUCCUUCUGUUUUACUGUCAAGAGAUGUGCACGGAUGAACCUUCAUCACACCUGUCCGCUUGACCAGGAAAGGAAUUGGACAGGUUUGCUGCAAUCUCAGUGUCCCGGCUGGCUGCCGAAGGUUUAGAGUACAAGACGGUUGUCAGCCAAUCAGCAGGCCUCUCCACCCUCUAGGUGAUUUACUAAUUCAUAGGCUCAUUUUUAGCGAUUUAUAUUCACCAAUCCCCGCCUCUUCCCUCCUGCCCAAUCCGCUUCCUCCGCAAGCCAUCCCGAGCGAUGGAGGUGCCUGCAGCAUUCACCACGGCUUGGGGGGCCCAUUCGGGUGGUGGCGUCGGUGGCGGCGGGUGGAGGUGAGGCGGGCGUGGCCGGAGACAGGCUGGUGCGGGGCGAAUCCGCGACGGCGGCGACCGGAGGAGCCGGGCACAGCCGGAGACGGGCCGGCGCGGGGCGGAUCCACGGUGGUGACGACCGGAGGCGACGGGCGAGGCCGGAGAUGGGCCGGCGCUGGGCGGCCGCCUCGAGUGAAGAACCGGUUCGAAGCGGCGUCGGCUUCCGCGAUUGGAAGCGGCGCGGGUGACUGGAUGCGGCCGAGCGGUAGCAUGGGGUUUUCCCAUCCAGCUUGCCACGCGCGUGCAUAUCAUCCACCAGCGGCAGUGACACGCACGUCGCUUAUGCCCCUCCUCCUCGGUGUGGUCUCGUCU